CUUGACCUUUGCAACAACAACAAAACAAAGUCAAAAGUCUAAAACUGGUCAUUGCAGUUGUAGAUCUGUGCAACUCGACUUAAUCAGGAGCAAACCAACAAUAUCUUUGAAGUUGUUCUAGGGGAAAAGUGUCAUGUACUAUUCUUAUUUUUUUGUCAAAAUAAUGAAACAUGCUUAUCUGUUUUCUGGUUUUGUAGAUAAAUUCCCCCAAAGUACGUUUAAAGCUGCAAUAUAAGAACUGGAUGUAGCUCACAGCUGCACCCUCUCUCUCCUUCUCAUUGCUGACUGAAGAUUUUUUGGUGAAGGAACUGCACAGAGAUGGCAACGCUGCAAGACCAGACCGCUCGGCAAUCCAAGAAGCUGAUGUCGUUGUCCCCAGAGCAUUCUGGAAGCUUCUUCAGUGCCAGCGUCCUUGCAAUUAAUGCCCCCCGACGUUGUAGAGGAAUUUAGUGACAUGAUGGAACAAUUCACUGACAGUAAUGGUGAAGAUGUGCUGGCCACUGAGAUUCCAAACUCAGAAGAGUUCAGAGAAAACAUCUGGCCCCCGCUUGUGAAAAUCAAGGCUCGCUCAGAGGACUGCUUCUGUGAUUUUGCUAUGUCAGCUCUCUCUUCUUCCAAGCUCUGAAUGAACUGACUGUGGAUCAGUUGUUGCUCUUGGAGUGUGUGGAAAGGACCUCAAUACCAAAAAUACUGAAAAUGGUCUUUGUUGUUUGGAGCAAAACUUCCAUCUGAAUUCAGAAACCUUUCAUCUGGAUGAUGAGCUGGUUUCCUCCUUUCAAGAGGAAAAGCUGAUCAUUGCAGCAGCAGAGAUUGAGCUGUGUGGAGUGAAACUGCAGAGAGAUGGACCUUCUAUCACUGGCAUCUGGGACUCCCAGGCUUUCCCAGCCUUUACUGCGCUGUACAUAGCCCUGUGCUUUUUCUACUGUCCGAUGUAGCGUUGUGCUGAUUUAGAGUAAAAUCUGUUUGGUUCAGAACUUCACUGGUGUCUACUUAAGACACCAGGCUCAGAACUGGCUCCAACUUUCAAAAGCCUCAAAAUGGGUUCAGAAUUGAAGUUUUGAUUUAGUCUCUUUUAAGCAAGGAUGCCACUUGCAAAGUUUGGAUUCAACUUCAGUUUCAGAAUUUUGACAGUUAUAUUUAGAAUCACAUUUAUAUGAAUAGGUGCAAUAUGCAAAGUUCAGAUCCUUAUAUGAAUUUCUAACAUAGAGUUCUACAGUUCUGGGGGCUUAGAACUACAUUUGUCUUUAAUUUUCCACAUUAGUGGGCAUGUGUAGACGCCACAAUAGUCCCCAUUUACAUUGACCCAACUGUGUUUGUGUUUGCAUGAUCGGGAUUUCCCGCUGCUCUGAAAGUCCAUUUAGCCUUAAACUAACACUACUUGGAGAUGUGUUAUUUUGCAUUGAUGUCCCUUACCUCGCUGCAAUCUAGAGAAUCGUGUUGUGCAAACAAGAAGGGACUCAAAGACUUUUAAUUAUUUUCCUUUGCUACCCGGUGGCACUGUGUUAUUUUUGUAGUGGCCAGUAGGUGCCACUGCUAAUUUUUUUCUUUAUUUUUUUUUCCUGCAGCUGGAAAAAAAAGCAAGGCUAGUGUAGCCAUUCCAGUGCGACCGGGGCCAGGUGCAGCUGGGGCCAGGAGGUGGCUGUGCAGCCAGGGCUGGUAUGGCUGUUCCGGUGCAGCUGGGGACGGUGUGGCCAGGACGGGGGCUGGUGCGGCCAGGCCAGUGUGGCCAUUUCAGGAUGGCUGGGGCUGGGUGCAGCUGGGGCUGGGAGGCAGCCAUGCAGCUGGGCCAGGGCCGGUGCAGCUCUUCUGAUACAGCCGGGGCCAGGGAUGGUGCGGCUGGGCCAGUGCAGCCAGGGCUGGGUGGAGCUGGGGCCAGGCCCGGGAGGCAUAUAUCUUUUAUAUAUCUUAUGUACAUUAUAUUUUUUUUAUAUCUGAUAUCUUUAAUUAGACCAAUUAGGUAGUUGGAAAAAUUUUUCUUAGCAAGCUUUUGGGUUUAAAAACCCUUCAUCAGGCUGAGGAAGCAUCUGCUAUUGUUGUGUGCUCUUCCUGGAUGGGUUGCCAACCUGAUCUACAAGAUGAGGAGCAAAGUAAACUCCCUGUCUCAGACUGGUGUAGAGCAACUCCUCACCAUCCAUCUACAUAGCUAAAAGACUGUGAGUUUUUUGAUAAAGCGAACUCAGCUCAACAGCAACAGAGUAAUGGGUAAAAGCAGAAAAUAAGCUACAUGUCCGUAAACAAGUUACCAAAUGGUGGAUCAUGCUGAAGAAGGCAGAGGAAGAAAGACUACGGACACAGCCUACACUGGCGAUAAGGAAGGAAUGUUCUAAACAGAGUGAUUGAGGACAAGGAUGCAUGAGCCUGACCGCAUACAUGCCAGGACAAAGUUUGAACAAAGACUUGGUGCUCCCUAUAAAAGGAAAUGACUUAACAGCAAGAAGCUGGGUUGACUCCUCGCAAAGUUCACUGGAGCACAGAUACAUCUGUAUGCCAUGCUCUUUGGCUGACUGACUUUGGUAACUAUUACAUCUGCAGAGUGAUUGGGAGAAUAUGUGUGCAAGUAUGAAUGAUUUUAGAUAGAGCAUUGCUUUUCCCCACUUGAUCUAUGUGUGUCACUCAGUAAAGAUCUUAGUUGCUGAA